AGAGUUUGAUCCUGGCUCAGGAUGAACGCUGGCGGCGUGCUUAACACAUGCAAGUCGAACGGAGUGUAAACGCUGAAGCGAUUUCGGUCAAUUCUUGUUUAUACUUAGUGGCGGACGGGUGAGUAACGCGUGGGUAACCUGCCGUAUGCAGGGGGACAACAGUUGGAAACGACUGCUAAUACCGCAUAAGCGCACUGUACCGCAUGGUACGGUGUGAAAAGAUCUAUCGGCAUACGAUGGACCCGCGUCUGAUUAGCUAGUUGGUGAGGUAACGGCCCACCAAGGCGACGAUCAGUAGCCGGCCUGAGAGGGUGAACGGCCACAUUGGGACUGAGACACGGCCCAAACUCCUACGGGAGGCAGCAGUGGGGAAUAUUGGACAAUGGGGGAAACCCUGAUCCAGCGACGCCGCGUGAGUGAAGAAGUAUUUCGGUAUGUAAAGCUCUAUCAGCAAGGAAGAAAAUGACGGUACUUGACUAAGAAGCUCCGGCUAAAUACGUGCCAGCAGCCGCGGUAAUACGUAUGGAGCAAGCGUUAUCCGGAUUUACUGGGUGUAAAGGGAGCGUAGACGGCAUAGCAAGUCUGAAGUGAAAUCCCAUGGCUUAACCAUGGAACUGCUUUGGAAACUGCCAGGCUAGAGUGCAGGAGAGGUAAGCGGAAUUCCUAGUGUAGCGGUGAAAUGCGUAGAUAUUAGGAGGAACACCAGUGGCGAAGGCGGCUUACUGGACUGUAACUGACGUUGAGGCUCGAAAGCGUGGGGAGCAAACAGGAUUAGAUACCCUGGUAGUCCACGCUGUAAACGAUGAUUACUAGGUGUUGGGGACCAAAGGUCCCUCGGUGCCGCCCGCAAACGCAUUAAGU
rnacentral:rRNA from 1 species